GGGCGAAUGGUUUAGUGGUAUAAUACUCCCUUAGCAUGUGUCAGACCACUGACAUGACUCCUGGGAGUGGUCCGGGGUUCGAUUCCCCGUUUGUCCA
rnacentral:tRNA from 1 species